rnacentral:rRNA from 1 species
AGAGUUUGAUCAUGGCUCAGAGUGAACGCUGGCGGUAGGCCUGACACAUGCAAGUCGAACGGCAGCACAGUAAGAGCUUGCUCUUACGGGUGGCGAGUGGCGGACGGGUGAGGAAUGCAUCGGAAUCUACUCUGUCGUGGGGGAUAACGUAGGGAAACUUACGCUAAUACCGCAUACGACGUACGGGUGAAAGCAGGGGAUCUUCGGACCUUGCGCGAUUGAAUGAGCCGAUGCCCGAUUAGCUAGUGGGCGGGGCAAGAGCCCACCAAGGCGACGAUCGGUAGCUGGUCUGAGAGGAUGAUCAGCCACACUGGAACUGAGACACGGUCCAGACUCCUACGGGAGGCAGCAGUGGGGAAUAUUGGACAAUGGGCGCAAGCCUGAUCCAGCCAUACCGCGUGGGUGAAGAAGGCCUUCGGGUCGUAAAGCCCUUUUGUUGGGAAAGAAAAGCAGUCGGUUAAUACCCGAUUGUUCUGACGGUACCCAAAGAAUAAGCACCGGCUAAUUUCGUGCCAGCAGCCGCGGUAAUACGAAGGGUGCAAGCGUUACUCGGAAUUACUGGGCGUAAAGCGUGCGUAGGUGGUUGUUUAAGUCUGUCGUGAAAGCCCUGGGCUCAACCUGGGAAUUGCGAUGGAAACUGGGCGACUAGAGUGUGGCAGAGGGUAGUGGAAUUCCUGGUGUAGCAGUGAAAUGCGUAGAGAUCAGGAGGAACAUCCGUGGCGAAGGCGACUGCCUGGGCCAACACUGACACUGAGGCACGAAAGCGUGGGGAGCAAACAGGAUUAGAUACCCCGGUAGUCC